GCCCGUCUGGCGGAAUGGCAGACGCAGAGCACUCAAAAUGCUCCGCCGCAAGGCGUCCGGGUUCAAGUCCCGGGAUGGGCACCA
rnacentral:tRNA from 1 species